AACUUUGCUUGAUUCAUAAAGACAAUCAUUUGAAAAGUUGAGCUUUUUGUGUAAAUGAUUCUCUGUGUAAAAGAUGUAGAUUAUUGUAGGCUUGUCAGUUCCCUUUGCAUUUUGAUGUGGUAUAAUUGGGGCACUUGGCUGCUUCUGGGUCCAAACUCCUACUCUGUUCAAGGCUAUCUUUUUAAAGUCUUUUAAUGCUUUGCAUCUUGCUUUAUUUAAUGUGAACAAGCCCCUAAAAACAAUCUGUGAUCACUGUAGGCUUCUCUGGCUGUUUAUUAGCACAAUUCCUGUGCAUUGCAUCUUUAAGCUCAGUUUUAAAUCCUUAUGAUGUUACUACAGCCUACAGCUCACAGUUUGCCAGACACCAAAUAUUUGAAUGCUUCAGAAAGAUCCACACUGAGGCCAAUUAAGAUUUGAAUAGAUGGAUGAAUUUGACGAUCAGCAUUUUUUUUUCAUAAUGAGUAAUCCAGCAUAUUAAUGACUAACCUGGUGUUGUGGAUAGAUCAUCUCGGGUGUUCUUGAGGUUUCCCAGAUUUUUUUUUUUUUUUUUAGAAUUACUGUAACUAGCAAGCUAACGUUCUGCUAACUUCAAACUCGGUCAACCUUCAUAAAUCCUCUUUUUCAUGGAUGCCUGGAUGUUAAACUUUAUUGAAACACCUGGGAGAGAAGCCACACUGAUCAUUUUAUUGAAGAUGAAAUCAUUUGAGCCAUCUUUUGUACUCUGAUACCAGUGUUUCCUGAAAUGGCUAAUGAUCUCAGAUUUAAGUCGUGGAUACCUUGAAAUCUUCGGUUCGGAUAAGUGUGAUGCCCACUAAUGUGUGAUGACAUUUAUGUGAAUUAAUUUAUAUUUAAGCUAUUUUACUUUAAAUGUAAGUGAUAUUUUCAUUUGAAAAAUUAACUAAAUUAACUAGCUAUAACUAGAAACUUAGAUAUUUUUAGCUGGCGCUCCAUUUUUGUACCAGUAGAUGGCAGUGUGAGGCUAUGGUUAGUAGUUAGAAGC
ensembl:lncRNA